AGUCGAACGAGCGAGAGAGAGCUUGCUUUCUCGAGCGAGUGGCGAACGGGUGAGUAACGCGUGAGGAACCUGCCUCAAAGAGGGGGACAACAGUUGGAAACGACUGCUAAUACCGCAUAAGCCCACGACCCGGCAUCGGGUAGAGGGAAAAGGAGCAAUCCGCUUUGAGAUGGCCUCGCGUCCGAUUAGCUAGUUGGUGAGGUAACGGCCCACCAAGGCGACGAUCGGUAGCCGGACUGAGAGGUUGAACGGCCACAUUGGGACUGAGACACGGCCCAGACUCCUACGGGAGGCAGCAGUGGGGAAUAUUGCACAAUGGGGGAAACCCUGAUGCAGCGACGCCGCGUGGAGGAAGAAGGUCUUCGGAUUGUAAACUCCUGUUGUUGAGGAAGAUAAUGACGGUACUCAACAAGGAAGUGACGGCUAACUACGUGCCAGCAGCCGCGGUAAAACGUAGGUCACAAGCGUUGUCCGGAAUUACUGGGUGUAAAGGGAGCGCAGGCGGGAAGACAAGUUGGAAGUGAAAUCCAUGGGCUCAACCCAUGAACUGCUUUCAAAACUGUUUUUCUUGAGUAGUGCAGAGGUAGGCGGAAUUCCCGGUGUAGCGGUGGAAUGCGUAGAUAUCGGGAGGAACACCAGUGGCGAAGGCGGCCUACUGGGCACCAACUGACGCUGAGGCUCGAAAGUGUGGGUAGCAAACAGGAUUAGAUACCCUGGUAGUCCACACCGUAAACGAUGAUUACUAGGUGUUGGAGGAUUGACCCCUUCAGUGCCGCAGUUAACACAAUAAGUAAUCCACCUGGGGAGUACGACCGCA
rnacentral:rRNA from 1 species